rnacentral:rRNA from 1 species
CCUGGUUGAUCCUGCCAGUAGUUAUAUGCUUGUUCUAAAGAUUAAGCCAUGCAUGUGUCGGAAUAUGUCUGUAUAGACGAAUCUGCAAACGGCUCAUUAUAACAGUGAUUGCAUAAUUGACUUUCUUAGACGGAUAACCGUGGGAAACUAAGGCUAAUACGAGCCAAUUUUGCCAGAUUUCAUUCUGUGCUGUAUUUCUUGUGUUAUAAGUCCAAGGCGCUCUGCGUGUUCGAUGAAACGCAGGAACUUUUCGAGUCGAAUAAUCGAUGCGUCAAAGUGGUUUCUGACCUAUCAGCUUUCGACGGUAGGGUAUUGGCCUACCGUGGCAAUGACGGGUAACGGGGAAUUAGGGUUUGAUUCCGGAGAGGGAGCCUGAGAAAUGGCUACCACGUCUAAGGAUGGCAGCAGGCGCGCAAAUUACCCAAUCCUGAAACAGGGAGGUAGUGACAGAAAAUAGCAACACAAAGCAUUUGCUUUUUGAUUGCAAUGUGGAUCUUCCAAAUUUUGCUUCGAGAAUCAAUUGGAGGGCAAGUCUGGUGCCAGCAGCCGCGGUAAUUCCAGCUCCAAUAGCGUAUAUUAAAGUUGUUGCAGUUAAAAAGCUCGUAGUUGUUAGGGUUGGGAAAUUUGAAGAAUCUUCACUGGUCUUCAGACUUCCUAAAAGCUGUUUCAAUCGGCUUUGUGUUACUUUGAGAAAAUUUGAGUGUUCAUCUCGGGCAAAUUGCUUACAUAAUGUACCAUGGAAUAACUCUGUGGCCCUAAUUCUGUCUUUUGGCUUACAUUAUUGGGGUUCGUGGUUGAAAAGGAUAGUUGGGGGCAUUCGUACUGAACAGUUAGAGGUGAAAUUCUUAGAUUUGUUCAAGACGAACCAGUGCGAAAGCAUCUGCCAAGGAUGUUUUCAUUAAUCAAGAACGAAAGUUAGGGGAUCGAAGACGAUCAGAUACCGUCGUAGUCUUAACUGUAAACAAUGCCGACUAGAGAUCGGUGGAAUUCGAAUUGGAAUCCUUCGGCAUCUACAGAGAAAUCAAAGUUCUUGGGUUCUGGGGGGAGUAUGGUCGCAAGGCUGAAACUUAAAGGAAUUGACGGAAGGGCACCACCAGGAGUGGAGCCUGCGGCUUAAUUUGACCCAACACGGGAAAACUUACCAGGUCCGGACAUAGGUAUGAUUGACAGACUGAGAGCUCUUUCUUGAUUCUAUGGGUGGUGGUGCAUGGCCGUUCUUAGUUGGUGGAUUGAUUUGUCUGGUUGAUUCCGACAACGAACGAGACCUUUACUUUCUAAUUAGAUCCAAGACAUACGUGUUUCCUGGGUCGCCUUAGCAGAACUUUGUGCGUUGCAGCACAAUGAAGCACAGGCAAUAACAGGUCUGUGAUGCCCUUAGAUGUUCUGGGCUGCACGCGUGCUACAAUGAAACUUACCAUAAGUUGCGAUGUCGAAAAGCUAUGCAAAUCUUUGAAUGCGUUUCGUGACAGGGACAGUUGAUUGUAAUUUUUCGACUCGAACGAGGAAUUCCUUGUAAUCGUGAUUCAUCAUAUCGCGCUGAAUACGUCCCUGCCCUUUGUACACACCGCCCGUCGCUCCUACCGAUUGGGCGAUCCGGUGAAUUAUUUGGAGUUUUGACGAUUUCUUUCGGAAACCUGCCAAUUCAAAUUUUUGUGAACCUUAUUGCUUAGAGGAAGGAAAAGUCGUAACAAGGUU